ACAUUUGUUACUCGCAUAGUCUUUAACUACAUCUCUAUCCCCUUCUUUCAUAUGCUGCCUGGAAAGGACAAGUGGUUGCCAGUUGGAAGCAUUGACUCUGCUCAAGAAAUAAAACCAGCCAUUGUAAGCACAGGAUACAGCCUUUUAUUAUGAGAAGCACAGACACCUACACCCCAUGGAAAAUUUAUCCCCAGAAGGGAGGGUUCUCUGACUGCUGGUGAAACUUCUCUGACUGCUGGUGCUGUCUUUGAAAAACAGGCUGAACUGCCUUGAUAAUCCUCAUCUGUUCUUGUGGCCUAGAGGAAUUCUGGCUAUUUUGACUGUGUGAUGGGUCUGGGGAAGGUGAGUAUCCCACUGCCACUGCCUGGAGACUUCACUGCAGUUCGAAGGCUAGCUGGAGGCCUGAAAAAUGCUGCUGGCCCCUACCCUGACAAUAGACAAUUGUAAAAUAACUCACUGCGUGAUAAGAUAAAACAAAUAUCCCCAGGACUUCCUUGUGGCAUGACAAUUUGCAGCUGUAAAAGAUAGCUUCCUGGGAUGUCCUUCAAUCUGCAAUCACUUGCAAUGAGACAAAAGCAAAAAUAUUACCUACCAGUGAAGUAACAACAUGCUGUCCAAGAAUGUUAAAUAUAAAAAAAAAAGGUACCAAAAUUACAACAGAUUGACAACACGCGUUUUUCUUUGGUAGGCGUGAAAAACAUGAAUAGCCUUGCAAUAUAGCCUGGUGGUCCCAUUUUACAGCAAGGGCAAUGUAUUUGUUAUUUAUAACAGGUUAAUCAAUGAUUAACAGACAUCACAAUUAAUGGUUAAUUGAUUGUUUUAGACUUAGUUCACACGUGGCUUGCAGCAAUCUGUAACACCGCAUUCACACUGUAAUGUAUUUAUAGCGGUUAUUAAUCACACACUAGUGUUUUUUAAAUGUUCCCAUUUUAUUAGGUGUAACCAAAUUCUCAAUAGCACUUCAGUGAAUGUGAGUUCUGCCUUCACAUUAGCAAGAGGGAAAAUACAAUAAACCAGCUAACUUGGCCUUGCUUUCUGCAAUGUCAGAAAACUAUAAACUGCAUAAAUGGGAGGCACUACCACAUUAUGAAAGCAAUUUUAAGAAAAAUGUGCCAUUUAUGGAAGAAGCACACUUAAAGAUUUUUGUAAUUACAAAUAUUUGUACUGUUAAGUGAAUUGCAUUAAAGUAUUUGUCGUUGUUGCUUUAUUUCC